GCAUAGCUCAGUUGGUUGGAGUGUGAUGCUGACAGUGCCAAGGUUGCGGGUUCAAUCCCCGUAAGGGACAGCUGCA